AGCCCAGCUCUCACCCUGCAGCUCUGGGAGAGGAGCCCCAGCCUAGGAUUCCCAGGAGUUUCCACUUGGUGACCAGCACUGAACACAGACCACCAGCCAUGGAGUUGGGGUUGAGCUGGGUUUUCCUUGUUGCUAUUUUAAGAGGUGUCCAGUGUGAGGUGCAGCUGGUGGAGUCUGGAGGAGGAUUGGUCCAGCCUGGCGGGUCCCUGAGACUCUCCUGUGCAGCCUCUGGAUUCACCUUCAGUAAUCACUACAUGCACUAGGGUCCACCAGGCUCCAGGAAAGGGGCUGGAGUGGGUAGGUUUCAUUAGAAACAAUGCUAAUGGUGCGACAACAGAAUACGCCGCGUCUGUGAAAGGCAGAUUCACUAUCUCAAGAGAUGAUUCCAAAAGCGUCGCCAGUCUGCAAAUGAGCAGCCUGAAAACGGAGGACACGGCCGUGUAUUACUGUGCUAGAGACACAGUGAGGGGAGGUCAGUGUGAGCCCAGACGCAAACCUCCCUGCAGGGGCGCGCGGGGCCACCAGGGGGCGCUCGGGACCCACUGA